CGGCCUUCCUCCAGGUUUCUUGUCCAUCCCCGGCGGCGGCGGCGGGGGACUAGCCUGUCUUGGCCACCGGAGGGCGAGCGAGGCGUUGCCGUCGCUGCAGCGCGGCCGAGUGCGAGCAGGGGGACGCGCGCCGGCCGGUGUGUAUGGUAAGUUUGGAGGAGGUAUAGUGCAUAGCAGAGCAGAGCAGGGGAGCUGGCCGCAAACAAAGAACAUUGUGCUCCUAAAAAACUACUAUCUUCAGCAAAGCUAGCCAACCAGGGACCUAGAAUCUCCAUCACUCCAUCACCUCGAGUCUCAAGCAAUGGGCAGUGAACUGCUCGCAGCAACGGUUGCACCACCAGCGGAGCAUCCCUUGAUCCCGUCCACGACCACUACCACCACUACCGCCGGCAACGGAACCAUCACAACAAUCACCACCACCACAUGCUCCUCCGCCGCCAAUGGCACCACUACCACUUCCACCACUACCGCCGGCAACGGAACCAUCACAACAAUCACCACCACCACAUGCUCCUCCGCCGCCAAUGGCACCACUACCACUACCACCACUACCGCCACCACGACCACAACAAGAACCACCACAAGCACCUCCAACGCCACAACCAUUUCAUCCCACUGUGAUGAGGAGUUCGAAAUUUGAUGGCUGUGCCCAUCUGUAUAAUAUUGCUGGACCUCCUUCUUUGGUUGGUGAUGAUGGGAGCACAGGGCAUG